AGCACAUCGCUCACCGCAAUAAUAUAGAUAGAGAAGAGAAGAGAAGAGAUAGAUGGCUUCCGAGUGCAUAAGCCACGAACUCUAGGCUUUAUAGAUUAGGCUAAAAAAUUAGUUUUCGAUUCUUUUCGUCGUCUUUCCAUUUCUCCUUGGCAUCUGAUCUUUCACGCAUCGUUUCCGGGAAGUUGCAGAGCUUGACCGAACUCCUCCGAUUUCUCUCUCGCCCUUUUGGUGAUUACUACUUGUUAUCCCAUCCCGGAGAACAUUCGGAAGAUUGUGAAACUGCAUAGUCUUAUGUAGCUUAGAUAUUCCAGUGCAGGAAUCAAGAGCAAUUUUCUAAACUCAAUCAAGGAAUUGCUAUUGAUUAUAAGUUUGACAACCCUUGAAGUCAUGCCUGUAUCAGGCAAUGAAGAGACUGGGGUUAAACCCAUUUCCAGGCAGGCUAGUGAUUACAUUGCUGGGGUUCCUAUCAAGAAGAGGAGGUUCCCAUUGCCAUGGCUUUCUCCACCUCCAUCUGAAGAACUGACUUCUUUUGCAGCAGAAAACAAUUCAUUAACUGGUCCAUCGGAUUUGCUGCAGGAGCAAUCCGAUUCGCUUCAAAAGGAGCAAUCCGAUUCGCUACAAAAGAAACAAUCUAGCCCAUCUUGGGGGUCCACUAUAUCAACUGCUAGUGCUGCAACAUGUUAUUCUGGUAUAUCUGAUGCACACAAGAAACCUGUAUCUGAGGAGCCCAAAGAAAAUUCUGAUCAUAUUAAUGUUACUUUGUUCCAAAACAUUCCUAACUAUAGAGUCAAACUCGAAGAACCACGCCUAAGAAUUCACUCUGGUUCUGUGGGUAACAUGGAUUGCAAAGAUAAGCUUGUUGCAGCCAAGAACUCUGAAUUGCCGAUAACAUUGGCAAAAACGAAGUUGAAGGUAGCACCAAAUGAAGCUCUUGUGCUUACCAUGGGCAAAGAGACAUAUAGCAAUGAAAAAUCUGAAGGCAAUUAUUUAUCAAAAAAACUUGAAGGCAAGUGUAAAGCAGAAAUUCCUACCAUUCCAGGGAAUAUUGAACUGACAUUAGGAUUAAAGGAACAUCUUUUUCCAGCAUUGGCAGGUCAAAACAGUGAUGGAACAGGCCAGAAAAAGGAUAGUUUAGAACCCUGUUCUCUGAAUUUAUCUUUGAGCAACGCAAAUAGCAGUAUCCAGUGGAAAAAGGAUGAUGUUGAGUUGAAUAACGGUGUACAGUUGUGUGCUAAUAGGGCAAACUGGGAUCUGAAUGUUUUGAUGGAUGCGUGGCAAUGUUCUGCGAGCGAUGCAGCUGCAGAUCAGGUAUCUGUUGAUGACUUCAAUCCAACUGAUCGUACUCAUGAUAUAAAACCUUUCAUAUGCUCAACUGGGAUGAUUGGCACUGCUUCAUCUUCUGAACACAAUAGCGUGAGUGAGAACAGAGCUAAUUUAGACAUAUCAUCUAAACUGUCUGGCCAACAAAAUGAAAUUGUUGACUCGCUUCAUUUAGGCCUUAGUCCAGCUUCUUUUCAGUCACAGGUGAGCCAGGAACCUUCCUGCUUUUCUGCCAAAGAAGAUUUUGGCAGGGUUUUUCCCAAUAUGAGCUUGCCUAGAUUGGAGGCAUCAACUAGCAAUUUGGACAGAGUUAAUCAUAGGACCGUGAAAUCAGAACCAUUUGAUGAGAGCAUGAAGUUAGAUAAUAUUGGAACUAAAGGUUAUAGUAUGGGACUAUUAAACAGUAGAACACUAAAGCAUGAAUUAGUUGACUGCAGUCUUGCCAAGUCUUCAAAUAUUAGCGCCCUGAAAUUAGGUGGUCCUGAAUCCAUUAAAACAGAACCAGUGCGUGAGGAUAGACAAGCACUCAAUAAAAUAGAGGGGACAUCACGGGUAGAAAAACAAGUGCUACAGGGUUUAAGUAAUCAUUCUAUUGCCAUGUCAUUGCCCGAAACUGCACCAAUGUCCUGCACUGCAGUCGAGCCUUCUUGUUCUACAGAGCUGAUUAUAGCCGGUGAUGUAGCAAACAACUUUCAACAUUCUAGGUGCACUGAAGGGGCGCAUAGUAAUGGGGAGGUGGUGCCUCAAGAAGCUUGGGAAAGGACUCAGCCGGUUGCUUCAGAAACAGUUGAUACAGCUGUGGGUCAUAAUGGUAAAGAAUCAAAUACUUCUGUGAUGACUGAUGAUAAUGUAAGAGCUGAAGAUGGAAAUAGUGAUGAUCCUGAGCAGUGUAGAUUACAAUGCAUGAAUGACCACCUCCCUGAUAUGCGGGUUAGUGAAGAUUCAGUAAGUGAUGAGGAGAAGAUCGAAAUAUCAGCUGAUAUGUUAGAAGAUUCUUAUAGUUCUGAUUACGAGUCGGAUGGGAAUCAUUCUUUAGCUAGGGCUAUGGAUACAAAACAAGAUGGUGAAGAAGACGACUAUGAAGAUGGUGAGGUCCGAGAACCUUUAGUGGAUAAUGCAGUAGAGGAGGAGCCUAUAUGUGAGAAAGAAGCUGAACAUGUUGAUCACGGUGACUCUGAUAAUAGAAAGAUGGACAUUAUUGGACAGGAUGGUGAUUAUCAUGCUACUUCAUGUCAUGUUGAGGAAAAAGACUAUAAAACAGAAGAUCCUGAUGAAACAAGCAACAAAGAUAAUAGCAAUAAUGAUGAUAGAGUGGAGGGGGUGUCCUGGAGCAGUGCUGAUAAACUUACAUGCUCGCAAGAAUCACCGGAUGUUGAAAAGCUGAGUGGAGCUGGAAUGAAGAGGCCAAUUAAUGAGAUUCAAGGAAAACCACGUGAUCAAUCGGGUAGUAAAGAUUGCUUGAAGGAACAGGAGAAAGAAUCAUCGUCUGAACAAACUUCUAAAGGAAACCAAGAAGCUGUUGCCACUGUAGAUGAGAAUGUUAAAAAAAUUCUCAUGCUGGAAAAGAAUGAUGCAGCUCUGCCAAAGAUGGAAGCAUCUGCAGAUGGUGAUGAUGUGGCUAACGAUGUCAACAAUGGUGGUAUUAGGAGCCGUAUUAUAAAUUUGUCUCGAGCUUCUCAUUUGUUAUCUCCUGGUAAAACAAGACCUAUUUCUGCCAGAUCAUUGCCAUCACAAGCUGGAACGGAGAUACCCGAUGUAGUACUUGAGGGAGAAAACUUACAUCCCCAAGGGAGAGAUGAAUUAUACAUGGAUGGCUCCCACAAAUUUUCACGAGAGAGGCACCAAGAUAACUCACCCAGAAAUCCUAGGUUAAAUUUUAUGCGGGGAAGAGGGAGGAUCACUAGUCGGUUAGACACUUUACAUGGUGACUGGGAUUCUGACCAUGACUUCAAUUCAGGAUUUUAUAAUGGGGCAACAGAGUUUCGUGUCCCCAGACAUAAAUAUGCAUCUGCUGUGCCUGACACUGACCUUGAAUAUAAUAGUUAUAAUAUUGCACCGGAAGGUUCAUUUUUUGGCACUGGUCGGGGAAGGAGGAAGCAUUUAAAUGAUGACAUUUUUCGCCGUAUACCAUCAAGAAGACAAUCUUCAGGUGGGAGAGACAUCCCUGCUGCACGUGGCGGUGGUCAAAUGAUUCGCAGAGUUACUAGAAAUGUGAGCCCUGGUAGAUGUGUUGAUGAAGAUGGUUCGGUAGUGGUUGGACCUAGGCAUAGUGAGAAGUUUGUAAGGGUUUUUACUGAUGAUACAAUGGAACCAAUGUUCACACGUCCUCAACCUGCCUAUGAAGGAUUAGGUGGCCAUUUUGCCCGAGGUACUAGAAACUUUUCUUCUGUUCAGAGAAGGGGUCUUCCCCGAAUGCAUUCAAAAUCUCCAAUAAGAUCCAGAUCUCGUUCUCCUGUCCCAUGGCCAUCUCCAAGGAGAAGAUCCCAAGAUGGUUUUGGUGGACCUCCAGAAUUGAUUCAUCGACGAUCUCCUCCAAUUUAUAGGAUGGAGAGGAUGAGAUCUCCAGAUCGCCCUUGUUUCACUGGAGACCUGAUGGUCAGGAGGCAUGGCUCCCCACCGUAUUUUUCACGAUCAUCUAAUGAUUUGAGGGAUAUGGAUUCUGGACGGGACAAUGGUCAUCCAAGAUCUGUAAUUCCGAAUAGGAGCCAAUCUGGUCGGAUUUUACUCAGAAACCGGCAAUUUGAUGCUAUAAAUCCCCGAGAAAAAACAGGCAGUGAUGAGUAUUUUGGGGGCCCAAUGAAUACCGGUCGGUUGCAUGAGCUUAGUGGUGAUGCGAAUGGUGAUGAUAGAAGAAGGUUUGGUGGGAGACGUGGACCUGUCCGUUCAUUUAGGCCUCCUUAUAAUGAUGCUAAUGGUGAGGGUUUUCAUCUUAAUUCAGAGGAUGGCCCCAGGCCUUUUAGGUUCUAUCCAGAAGAUGAUUCAGAAUUCCAUCAAAGAGGCAGUCUCAGGGAUCGGGGGUUUGACCAAAGGAUUAAGAAUCAGCCAGGAAAUGCACAUAGAAGAACAAGAAGCAUUGAAGAGCAGGAAGUAAAUUACAGGCGUGGGGGGCAGGUGUGGCAGGAUGAUGGGUUUGAUGAGAUCUCACGUGUGAAGAGGAAAAGAUUUUGAUCCUGAUCCUGCCAUGAGUUGAUAUUUCAGAUGCUAUUGGAGAUGGAAACUUGCAGAGUCUAAUCAGGGACAUUUUACUAGCUCAUAGGACAAAGGAACUUGCUACUCUAUUUGCAGUUUAAGCUGUGAAAGUAACUUCAGAUGCAGGCUCUGCUUUUUGGUUACUUGUGAUUCUGUCCUGCUUGAUGUCAUGGACAUAGCUCAGUUGGUACGAUGGUUGCUAAAUCAUCUUUAAACUCGUAUAAUCUUGUAUUUCAUAAAUUAAGGUGGCGCAUUAUAUACUUGCUGAAGUGUUUCGCUAAAUCUUCAGUGGAUCUCCUAAAGUUUCUCAAAAGUAUCUUCAACUCUUGAUUUGGGUGCUUGGUUGGCCAGAGCAGGGAGAUAUACAUAUAACUAAAUAAAAGAGGACUGUUGAGACAGUUUCCAGCAGGGUACUGAAGCUUGCAUGAAGUACAUUAUGCAAUCUACUACAAUUAAAAAAGAGUAAAGAACUUUGCAGGCUUUUAUGGAGCUUGUAUAUAAUACUUAGCUGUUGAAGCCAAAGAUAAUUGGGGAAGAAUCUAGUGCGUCCUGUAAUUUCGUGUGCAUCAACAGCAUGUUCAUAUUUUUACGGCUGGUUUGAAUUUUAUUGAUGGCAUUGGAUGGAUGAUUUUGUCAUGGAGACUGUUCUGAUGUCUUCAUCUAAUUCUUGAACUGAUGGGUUGGAGCUACAGCACGCUAUUUACCAGUUCCAAAGGCUUAUGCGAUGUCUUGGGUGGAUUCAAUGUGAGUUGUGUUUUUAUGCUUAUUAAUCUCAAGAAAAAGAGAGAACAUUCCCAUGG